GACGUCGAAUAUCGACGUCAUAAACACCAAAGUUGAUCGUGUUUAUGACGUCGAAUAUCGACGUCAUAAACACCAAAGUUGAUCGUGUUUAUGACGUCGAAUAUCGACGUCACAAACACCAAAGUUGAUCGUGUUUAUGACGUCGAAUAUCGACGUCAUAAACACCAAAGUUGACCGUGUUUAUGACGUCGUAUAUCGACGUCAUAAACACCAAAGUUGAUCGUGUUUAUGACGUCGAAUAUCGACGUC
rnacentral:miRNA from 1 species